rnacentral:rRNA from 1 species
UACGUAGGAGGCGAGCGUUGUCCGGAGUUACUGGGCGUAAAGGGUGCGUAGGCGGCCGCGCGCGUGGGGGGGUGAAAUCUCUCGGCUUACCCGGGAGGGGGCUUUCCAGACGGCGUGGCUUGAGGGACGGAGAGGGGCGUGGAAUUCCGGGUGGAGCGGUGAAAUGCGUAGAGAUCCGGAGGAACACCGACGGCGUAGGCAGCGCCCUGGCCGUUUCCUGACGCUGAAGCACGAAAGCUGGGGGAGCAAACAGG